UCUGCUCGCAGCCGCUGCAGCGCCGCCUGCACCACUCGGCGGAGACGGAGACCAGCGGCGGCGACGCGCGGACUGGGAGAGACCGCCGAGCAGUCAAGCAGCUGGGGAGGCACGCAGGCCGGCAGGCUUGGAAUACAUGAGGAAGAAGAGUGGGAGACAGGAGGAAAGGUAAGGUUGGGAGAGGGCAAGAGGAAAGGAGGAGAGUAGAGGGAACACUCCAUCGAUUGCCAGCACAAUAAACUGUAUCAUGGACUA